rnacentral:rRNA from 1 species
GAUGAACGCUGGCGGCGUGCCUAAUACAUGCAAGUCGAGCGAACAGACGAGGAGCUUGCUCCUCUGACGUUAGCGGCGGACGGGUGAGUAACACGUGGAUAACCUACCUAUAAGACUGGGAUAACUUCGGGAAACCGGAGCUAAUACCGGAUAAUAUAUUGAACCGCAUGGUUCAAUAGUGAAAGACGGUUUUGCUGUCACUUAUAGAUGGAUCCGCGCCGCAUUAGCUAGUUGGUAAGGUAACGGCUUACCAAGGCAACGAUGCGUAGCCGACCUGAGAGGGGGAUCGGCCCCCUGGGAACUGAGGCCCGGCCUAGAACCCGAGGGGGGCCAGGAGGCGGAAAUCUGCAGGAAGGGGGGAAAGCUUGACGGAGGAAGCCCGCGGGAGGGAGAAAGGUCUCGGGAUCGUAAACCUUUUUUUGUAGGGAAAACAAAAUUGGAAGGGACGAAGCUCUGUCUGACGGGACCCUAAGAAGAAACCCCGGGUAACUCCGUG